ensembl:lncRNA
GGGGCCUCCAUCUGGCGGGCUCUCCAGAAACUUCGCCAAGUACCUGAGGCAGGACGAGGGAGGACUGCUGGAAACGAUGUAGCAGAGUUUGGGAGGGGCGAAGCAGUGCAGGGCCUUGUAGGUGGUGUUAGGACGUGGCCUGGGUUUUGUUUUCCUAAGAGCAAUAGGCAGUGGCUGAAAGGUAAUAUAUCAGAGGGUGACAUGAUGCAACUUGUACUGUCAAAAGAUCCCUCUGGAAGUGGAUCAUAGCAGUCUGCAUGAGGCAGAAGGGUGCCUUGGACCAGGUGGUGGCAGCAGGAACCUAGAGAGGUCUUGGACUUCGGCUGCAUCUUGGAAGUAGGAUUUGGAAGUCCUUCCACUGUGAACAGGAGCUGUAGACAAUGCGACCUUCCCUUGAAGAUGGGACUCUCCGGGUUAGGAGGCAGAUGUCUGCCAGUAACACCUGCUGGAUGCACCCUCUGGAAUUAGAAAUCUCUUCUUCCUUACAAUGGUCAAGCAGUGUGUACAGCAGCUCCCCGGGCCUCAGACACUGAGAGGAGAGCCUUAACAUGAAAUGGCAGUGGGCCAGGGGCUGGGGUGCGGGGUUUGUGUGCUGGGCCGGCCUUCGUCCAGGAAGGAGCGGCAGCUGGGCCCUUCCCAGCGCUGGGCCUUGCUUUCCUCACCUGGCGGGGAACAUUCUUUCAGCCACGGGAGGAGGUAUGUCUGUGACUGCUGUCUUUUUCUUUUCUUUUAAUCUUUGUGAGAAAAAUCCUGCAGUUCCACUUGUUUUCUCCCAGCCAUUUUGUUAGUUGAGGUGUUUGCAUGCUGAGCAACACACAGUAAUAUUUUCCUCCUUAGCAAAACAUUAAUUAUCCUACCCCGUAACCUUUCUCUCGGGCAUUUUUUUUCUUUACCACCCUCUAAGCUGUUGGGCACCAAGCAACGUCUGUAUUUUCCCAUCGUCUCCGCAAGCUGAGUGAGAGGUCUGAGGAAGGAGCUGUCCCACGCGGCUGGGCGCAGGCCCUCCUCCGUGCCCGGCGGCCCCCAGCGCAGGCUGCUCUCCCAGCACUGCUCAAUCUGGGUAGGAACCGUCUGUUUAUAUCUCUCGUUGGCCCCCAUGAGGCUGUGAACUUACUCAAUUCUGUAUUCCCAACACCCAGGACGGUGCCUGACGUGCUGUAACGGCUUUAUCAAUGUUUACAGCAGGCACAGGCGAGUGAAUGAAAAUGGAAGAUGGAAUGAAAGGACAGACAGAUAGCACAAGGAGCCGCAGAACAAAGGAGCCUCCCCCUUUGGCAUCUCCAAGGCCCCAUCUCUUGCCCAUGUGAUAUAAGGAGUGGUUGUAGGCUCAUUUUGGGUCCUUUGCCAUCCCUGGCACUUGGUGAGUCCUGUCCUCUGUCCCCAUCUGCAGCCGUUCUCAGCUGCCUGCCAGCGGGCGCGUUCACCAGGAGCCCCGUGCCCUCUACCCCAGUCGCCCUUUGGCUGAGAGUAAGAGAGGAUAGCAGGGGGAAUUCAGACCUUGGAAUCUGCGUUGGAGGGACCAGGGACCAAAUGCAGAGGUUGGCAAUCAUUUAGUCCCAGCUCUUCCUCUCCCAGUUUAAAGAUUAAGAGGCAACAAAGACCCAGAGAGCUGAGAUGUCUGGGUCAAGGUUCCCUAGCUCGUGAGCAGGGGAGCUGGGACUCAGACCCCGGACCCUUGUGGAGAAACAGGAGCCUCCGAAUUACUCCUGAGUGCAGGGCCUUUCUAGUCCCUCCUGCUGUCACAUCCUGGGCUGCAGGGAAGAGGGAAUGGCCUCAUCUGCCUCAUGUGUGCAGCUCAAACUCCUUUAUUCUCUCGUCUCAUCGAUCCCCGCGGCAUCGCUCUGAAGAGGGCAGAGUGCUGAUAACUGUCUCCGUCUUAGAGAUGAGAAACUGUGGCGCAGAACUGACUAGCCCAAGGUAGCAGAGCUGGUCAGUGGCAGAGUCGGGGCUGAAAUGCCACAUGUCAGAGUCCAGAGCUUGUGCCAACCCCACUGCUCUGUCUGUCUGGGUGGGGUCCCUCCUGCUGCUCUGCCCCUUCCCCGAGGAGCCUGAGCCAUCUGACUCGAUCUGGCUCCAACAGGAUCCCCUGCUCCACAGGGGUCCCAGGAAGUCAAGACCAGAACCCAAAGAUCCCUCCUCCCGGCCGGGCACCAGGGCUCUGCGGACUGUGCAGCCCCUCCGCGC